rnacentral:rRNA from 2 species
GGUUAAGCGACUAAGCGUACACGGUGGAUGCCCUGGCAGUCAGAGGCGAUGAAGGACGUGCUAAUCUGCGAUAAGCGUCGGUAAGGUGAUAUGAACCGUUAUAACCGGCGAUUUCCGAAUGGGGAAACCCAGUGUGAUUCGUCACACUAUCAUUAACUGAAUCCAUAGGUUAAUGAGGCGAACCGGGGGAACUGAAACAUCUAAGUACCCCGAGGAAAAGAAAUCAACCGAGAUUCCCCCAGUAGCGGCGAGCGAACGGGGAGCAGCCCAGAGCCUGAAUCAGUGUGUGUGUUAGUGGAAGCGUCUGGAAAGGCGUGCGAUACAGGGUGACAGCCCCGUACACAAAAAUGCACAUACUGUGAGCUCGAUGAGUAGGGCGGGACACGUGGUAUCCUGUCUGAAUAUGGGGGGACCAUCCUCCAAGGCUAAAUACUCCUGACUGACCGAUAGUGAACCAGUACCGUGAGGGAAAGGCGAAAAGAACCCCGGCGAGGGGAGUGAAAAAGAACCUGAAACCGUGUACGUACAAGCAGUGGGAGCCUCUUAAUGGGGUGACUGCGUACCUUUUGUAUAAUGGGUCAGCGACUUAUAUUCUGUAGCAAGGUUAACCGAAUAGGGGAGCCGAAGGGAAACCGAGUCUUAACUGGGCGUUAAGUUGCAGGGUAUAGACCCGAAACCCGGUGAUCUAGCCAUGGGCAGGUUGAAGGUUGGGUAACACUAACUGGAGGACCGAACCGACUAAUGUUGAAAAAUUAGCGGAUGACUUGUGGCUGGGGGUGAAAGGCCAAUCAAACCGGGAGAUAGCUGGUUCUCCCCGAAAGCUAUUUAGGUAGCGCCUCGUGAAUUCAUCUCCGGGGGUAGAGCACUGUUUCGGCAAGGGGGUCAUCCCGACUUACCAACCCGAUGCAAACUGCGAAUACCGGAGAAUGUUAUCACGGGAGACACACGGCGGGUGCUAACGUCCGUCGUGAAGAGGGAAACAACCCAGACCGCCAGCUAAGGUCCCAAAGUCAUGGUUAAGUGGGAAACGAUGUGGGAAGGCCCAGACAGCCAGGAUGUUGGCUUAGAAGCAGCCAUCAUUUAAAGAAAGCGUAAUAGCUCACUGGUCGAGUCGGCCUGCGCGGAAGAUGUAACGGGGCUAAACCAUGCACCGAAGCUGCGGCAGCGACACUAUGUGUUGUUGGGUAGGGGAGCGUUCUGUAAGCCUGUGAAGGUGUACUGUGAGGUAUGCUGGAGGUAUCAGAAGUGCGAAUGCUGACAUAAGUAACGAUAAAGCGGGUGAAAAGCCCGCUCGCCGGAAGACCAAGGGUUCCUGUCCAACGUUAAUCGGGGCAGGGUGAGUCGACCCCUAAGGCGAGGCCGAAAGGCGUAGUCGAUGGGAAACAGGUUAAUAUUCCUGUACUUGGUGUUACUGCGAAGGGGGGACGGAGAAGGCUAUGUUGGCCGGGCGACGGUUGUCCCGGUUUAAGCGUGUAGGCUGGUUUUCCAGGCAAAUCCGGAAAAUCAAGGCUGAGGCGUGAUGACGAGGCACUACGGUGCUGAAGCAACAAAUGCCCUGCUUCCAGGAAAAGCCUCUAAGCAUCAGGUAACAUCAAAUCGUACCCCAAACCGACACAGGUGGUCAGGUAGAGAAUACCAAGGCGCUUGAGAGAACUCGGGUGAAGGAACUAGGCAAAAUGGUGCCGUAACUUCGGGAGAAGGCACGCUGAUAUGUAGGUGAAGUCCCUCGCGGAUGGAGCUGAAAUCAGUCGAAGAUACCAGCUGGCUGCAACUGUUUAUUAAAAACACAGCACUGUGCAAACACGAAAGUGGACGUAUACGGUGUGACGCCUGCCCGGUGCCGGAAGGUUAAUUGAUGGGGUUAGCGGUAACGCGAAGCUCUUGAUCGAAGCCCCGGUAAACGGCGGCCGUAACUAUAACGGUCCUAAGGUAGCGAAAUUCCUUGUCGGGUAAGUUCCGACCUGCACGAAUGGCGUAAUGAUGGCCAGGCUGUCUCCACCCGAGACUCAGUGAAAUUGAACUCGCUGUGAAGAUGCAGUGUACCCGCGGCAAGACGGAAAGACCCCGUGAACCUUUACUAUAGCUUGACACUGAACAUUGAGCCUUGAUGUGUAGGAUAGGUGGGAGGCUUUGAAGUGUGGACGCCAGUCUGCAUGGAGCCGGCCUUGAAAUACCACCCUUUAAUGUUUGAUGUUCUAACGUUGGCCCCUGACCGGGGUUGCGGACAGUGUCUGGUGGGUAGUUUGACUGGGGCGGUCUCCUCCUAAAGAGUAACGGAGGAGCACGAAGGUUGGCUAAUCCUGGUCGGACAUCAGGAGGUUAGUGCAAUGGCAUAAGCCAGCUUGACUGCGAGCGUGACGGCGCGAGCAGGUGCGAAAGCAGGUCAUAGUGAUCCGGUGGUUCUGAAUGGAAGGGCCAUCGCUCAACGGAUAAAAGGUACUCCGGGGAUAACAGGCUGAUACCGCCCAAGAGUUCAUAUCGACGGCGGUGUUUGGCACCUCGAUGUCGGCUCAUCACAUCCUGGGGCUGAAGUAGGUCCCAAGGGUAUGGCUGUUCGCCAUUUAAAGUGGUACGCGAGCUGGGUUUAGAACGUCGUGAGACAGUUCGGUCCCUAUCUGCCGUGGGCGCUGGAGAACUGAGGGGGGCUGCUCCUAGUACGAGAGGACCGGAGUGGACGCAUCACUGGUGUUCGGGUUGUCAUGCCAAUGGCACUGCCCGGUAGCUAAAUGCGGAAGAGAUAAGUGCUGAAAGCAUCUAAGCACGAAACUUGCCCCGAGAUGAGUUCUCCCUGACUCCUUGAGAGUCCUGAAGGAACGUUGAAGACGACGACGUUGAUAGGCCGGGUGUGUAAGCGCAGCGAUGCGUUGAGCUAACCGGUACUAAUGAACCGUGAGGCUUAACCUU